UUUCAGACAUCUUUAUUCUGUAGAGUUACCCGUUAACAACCUUAUUCUGUAGAGUUUAACCUGUUACAACUUAUUUGUAGAGUUUACCCUGUAACAACCUUAUUCUGUAAGUUUCCCGUUAACCUUAUCUGUAGAGUUUACCCUGUUUAACAACUUAUUCUGUAGUUUACCCUGUUAACUUUAUUCUGUAGAGUUACCCUGUUAACAAUUUAUCUGUAAGUUUACCUAAAAACUUUAUCUGUAGAGUUUACCCUGUUAACACUUUCUGUAGAGUUUACCCUGUUAACAAUUUAUUCUGUAAGGUUUACCCUGUUAACAACUUUAUUCUGUAGAGUUUACCCUGUUAACAACCUUAUUCUGUAGAGUUUACCCUGUUAACAACUUUAUUCUGUAGAGUUUACCCUGUUAACAACUUUAUUCUGUAGAGUUUACCCUGUUAACAACUUUAUUCUGUAGGUUUACCCUGGUAACAUCUUUAUUCUGUAGAGUUUACCGUUAACAACCUUAUUCUGUAGAGUUUACCCUGUAACAUGUUAACAACUUUCUUCUCAACCACCAGGGUC
rnacentral:lncRNA from 1 species